GAUGAACGCUGGCGGCGUGCCUAAUACAUGCAAGUCGAGCGAACGGACGAGAAGCUUGCUUCUCUGAUGUUAGCGGCGGACGGGUGAGUAACACGUGGAUAACCUACCUAUAAGACUGGGAUAACUUCGGGAAACCGGAGCUAAUACCGGAUGAUAUUUUGAACCGCAUGGUUCAAAAGUGAAAGACGGUCUUGCUGUCACUUAUAGAUGGAUCCGCGCUGCAUUAGCUAGUUGGUAAGGUAACGGCUUACCAAGACAACGAUGCAUAGCCGACCUGAGAGGGUGAUCGGCCACACUGGAACUGAGACACGGUCCAGACUCCUACGGGAGGCAGCAGUAGGGAAUCUUCCGCAAUGGGCGAAAGCCUGACGGAGCAACGCCGCGUGAGUGAUGAAGGUCUUCGGAUCGUAAAACUCUGUUAUUAGGGAAGAACAUAUGUGUAAGUAACUGUGCACAUCUUGACGGUACCUAAUCAGAAAGCCACGGCUAACUACGUG
rnacentral:rRNA from 1 species